GGCUGGUCUGUUGGUAGUGGGUUAUCAGAACUUAUUAACAUUAGUGUCACUAAAGUUGGUAUUCAACCCCCCACUGCUAAAUUUGACUGGCAAAA
rnacentral:Y_RNA from 1 species